rnacentral:RNase_P_RNA from 1 species
GGAGGGGAUUGAGGAAUUGCUCUCUGCCAAUUGGUGGGGAGAGGAAAGUCCGGACUCCGUAGAACAGGGUGAUGGCUAACGGCCACCGUCUAAACGCAGAUAACUGCAGAUAAAAGGCGUAGAUGUCCGCAGAUGAAAAUCAGCGGUCAUCAGCGUUAAAUUAUCAGCGGUAAUCCGUGUCAAAAGACAGGGAAAGUGCCACAGAAAAGAUACGGCCUAUUUUAACCCUAAAGGUUAAAAGGCAAAGGUGAAAAGGUGCGGUAAGAGCGCACCGCUUUGAUAGUGAUAUCAGAGGCAGGGCAAACCCCACCCGGAGCAAGGUCCAAAAUAAAAGAUUCGUUCCGGUUAAAUGGAACGGAACGGGAUUGUUCGUCCCGUCACUAUUUUUAAGGUUGACCGCUUGACCUCGCAAGUAAUUUCGGGGCUAGAGAAAUAAUUCCAUUAUCUUGAUAAAACGGGAUAAACAGAAUCCGGCUUAUCAAUCCCCUUCUGCA